GCCCAGCCUCUACCUCAACCGUGGGCC
rnacentral:piRNA from 1 species